UCAUUAGUCAAACGGAGAAAUCUGAAGUGUCAUCUUCAUAGGAGACCUACUGCCUUAUUGACAAAGAAGUACCACUUCUUUUGCUUUGUUCUGGUUACAACAGAAGACUGCAAAAUGAAUCAGAAUGUGUGGCUGUGGCUUCAAUUUGACGAUGCUGCUAAUAGAAAUGGAUUUAGAAGAAAUGCAAGCUAAAAGUAAAGCUCCAUGAAAAUCAAUGGGAAAAGAAUUUUCCACUUGUGAUGAUAAAUCGAUCUCCUGGUA